UGGCUAACUCCUACGGGAGGCAGCAGUGGGGAAUCUUGCGCAAUGGGCGAAAGCCUGACGCGGCGACGCCGCGUGCGGGAAGAAGGCCUUAGGGUUGUAAACCGCUUUCAGGAGGGACGAAGCUACUCGGGUGAACAGCCCAGAGGGUGACGGUACCUCCAGAAGAAGCCCCGGCUAACUACGUGCCAGCAGCCGCGGUAAUACGUAGGGGGCAAGCGUUGUCCGGAUUCAUUGGGCGUAAAGAGCGUGUAGGCGGCCAGGUAGGUCGGUUGUGAAAACUGGAGGCUCAACCUUCAGACGUCGACCGAAACCCCCUGGCUAGAGUCCGGGAGAGGAGAGUGGAAUUCCUGGUGUAGCGGUGGAAUGCGCAGAUAUCAGGAAGAACACCCGUGGCGAAAGCGGCUCUCUGGAACGGUACUGACGCUGAGACGCGAAAGCGUGGGGAGCGAACAGGAUUAGAUACCCCUGUAGUCCAGCUGG
rnacentral:rRNA from 1 species